GACGUAGGAUGCAAGCGUUGUCCGGAUUUAUUGGGUUUAAAGGGUGCGUAGGCGGGCUAUUAAGUCAGUGGUGAAAGCCCCAAGCUUAACUUGGGAACCGCCAUUGAUACUGAUGGUCUUGAGUACAUUUGAGGUGGGCGGAAUGUGUCAUGUAGCGGUGAAAUGCUUAGAUAUGACACAGAACACCGAUUGCGAAGGCAGCUCACUAAACUGUAACUGACGCUGAGGCACGAAAGCGUGGGGAGCAAACAGG
rnacentral:rRNA from 1 species